rnacentral:lncRNA from 1 species
GGGCUCUAAAGGUCCAAGCUCCUCAAGACACGUACGUAAAGGAACCUUAUUGAAAGGCCAGGACUCUGAGUCUAUCAGCUGAGUCACGUGAUUCAAGAGUUUCAUCUCAUAGUCAAAUUCUAAAACUCUCCAAUAUCCUUCAAUUACACAGGCACCUAUAACCUGCAGCUGGUGCAGUAUUUCCUCUUCACUUGCUUGAAUCAGACUUAGCAAAUCUUCUGUUGUAUAUUUUGACACUGUUGAAGUCUGAUCUUUCGCACUAUCUGGCCCUUCAUAUGGAUCUUCCAUCAGAAGCUUCCUCAACUUCUUCAGUUUAGGUCGACAUCUCCUUAAUUCCCAGUAGUUAUUGGAGAAGCCAGCGAUCUGCGAAUGAAUAAUAUUACAAGAUGCUUGAUCUGCAUUCAGCUCUUCUGGAGUUCUGCAGCCAGGAAUAAACAGCAGCAUAUUUGAGGUAUCUGCUAUUUUCACAUCGUAAGUUUUAUCUUUGCUGCACAACACUGCUUGUUCAUCCUUUUCACCACGGAUUACCAGGCUGCAUCCCGCCUCCAGCUCGGCGCACAGCCCCGCCUCCAGCUGCAGCAGGCAGCACUCGCCGGCGCCGCCCUGCGGGCCGAAGCUGAGGCAGUGCACAGCAGGCAGCAGCUCGGCGGGGUUCAGCUUAGCGGUGCGCAGCGUAGCGUCCACCUCCGCGCGGCUCCGCAUGGCGCCCGCCGCUGUCCGAAAGCGGCGCCAAACCACAGGGGGCGGAGCAGGGCGGGGCGGUGCAACGCGGCG